GUGAGGAAUAUUGCGCAAUGGAGGCAACUCUGACGCAGCCAUGCCGCGUGCAGGAAGAAGGCGCUACGCGUUGUAAACUGCUUUUAACCGGGAAGAAACCCCAGGACGUGUCCUGGGUUGACGGUACCGGAGGAAUAAGCACCGGCUAACUUCGUGCCAGCAGCCGCGGUAAUACGAAGGGUGCAAGCGUUAUCCGGAUGCAUGGGGUUUAAAGGGUGCGUAGGCGGAGCGUUAAGUCAGUGGUGAAAUCCUGCAGCUUAACUGUAGACUUGCCAUUGAUACUGGCGCUCUUGAGUGCGCUUGAAGUGGGCGGAAUGUGCCGUGUAGCGGUGAAAUGCUUAGAUAUGGCACAGAACACCAAUUGCGAAGGCAGCUCACUAAGGCGAUACUGACGCUGAGGCACGAAAGCGUGGGGAUCGAACAGGAUUAGAUACCCGGGUAGUCC
rnacentral:rRNA from 1 species